AUACGGAGGGUGCAAGCGUUAUUCGGAAUCACUGGGCGUAAAGGACGCGUAGGCGGGUUGGCAAGUCAGAUGUGAAAUCCUACAGCUUAACUGUAGAACUGCAUUUGAAACUGCUAACCUAGAGUAUGGGAGGGGGAGAUGGAAUUAGUGGUGUAGGGGUAAAAUCCGUAGAUAUCACUAGGAAUACCGAAAGCGAAGGCGAUCUCCUGGAACAUAACUAACGCUAAGGCGUGAAAGCGUGGGGAGCAAACAGGAUUAGAAACCCCAGUAGUCC
rnacentral:rRNA from 1 species